UACGUAGGUGGCAAGCGUUGUCCGGAUUUACUGGGCGUAAAGAGCGCGCAGGCGGUCGUUCAAGUCGCGUGUGAAAGCCCCGGCUCCAACUGGGGAGGUCGAGCGCGUACUGAUCGACUCGAAGGCAGGAGAGGGAAGUGGAAUUCCCGGGUGUAGUGGUCGAAAUGCGCAGAAUAUCAGGAGGAACACCAAUGGCGAAGGCAGCUCGCUGGGACGGUACUGACGCUGAGACGCGAAAGCGUGGGGAGCAAACAGG
rnacentral:rRNA from 1 species